UCGAUUAGAGUUUGAUCCUGGCUCAGGACGAACGCUGGCGGCGUGCCUAAUACAUGCAAGUUGAGCGCUGAAGGUUGGUACUUGUACCGACUGGAUGAGCAGCGAACGGGUGAGUAACGCGUGGGGAAUCUGCCUUUGAGCGGGGGACAACAUUUGGAAACGAAUGCUAAUACCGCAUAACAACUUUAAACACAAGUUUUAAGUUUGAAAGAUGCAAUUGCAUCACUCAAAGAUGAUCCCGCGUUGUAUUAGCUAGUUGGUGAGGUAAAGGCUCACCAAGGCGAUGAUACAUAGCCGACCUGAGAGGGUGAUCGGCCACAUUGGGACUGAGACACGGCCCAAACUCCUACGGGAGGCAGCAGUAGGGAAUCUUCGGCAAUGGACGAAAGUCUGACCGAGCAACGCCGCGUGAGUGAAGAAGGUUUUCGGAUCGUAAAACUCUGUAGGUAGAGAAGAACGUUGGUGAGAGUGUAAAGCUCAUCAAGUGACGGUAACUACCCAUAAAGGUACGGUUAACUACGUGCCAGGAGCCGCUUUAA
rnacentral:rRNA from 1 species